GGAGCGCCCUUUUCUUGUGUUGAGUUAUUAGGCCAUGCUUGUUUCUUGCCAUUUUCAAAGGGCUUAUGUCUCUUAAUUAUAUCUCUUCUCUAUAGUGAAUGUUUGUUUGUGGUUUUCUUUUGCUUUUGCUUCACUGUUGAAAAGGGUUUUGUGGGUAUGAUUUGUUUAUCAAUCUUUGCUUUGGUUUGGACCCAUUUUGAUUCUCAAAAUCUCUUCUUUAAUCCCUCUUUCCUUUCUUUAAUAUAUUCGUUUAUCAUAUAUGCGUUGUGUAUGCGCCACUUGAGCCCUAUUUUCAGCUUCAUUUGUCUUCCACUGUUUCAUCAUAUUUUUGGGUUUUAAUCAGUUUUGGGGAAUUGAAGUGCAUGGAAUACACAUGAGCACAUAUACGUAUAUGCCUGGCUCCCUGUAUGCCAUCUGUGGAGCUCACCGGAAAAAUCGAUGGCCCUCCGUGGAUGGCGUAUGAGGAGCCAAGCAUAUCCACACAUCGUAUAUGUGUUUGAUUUACUUUGAAUUUCAAUUUUCAAUUUCUCUUGCCAGAUACUACAUGCAACAAUGUAAGAGUAUCAAGAUUGGAGAUAUCUUGGUGAGGAACAUUAUUUAUACAUAGUACUCCACUUAAUCAAUCAAAGAUCAAGAAACCCAAAAACUUUACAAUAUCUUGCAAGAUUUUGAUGGGAGGUGGAUGCUAGACAUAUAGCUAAUUGUGGAUAGAUACAAAAUUGAGUGGAGAAUGUGAUGAUGCUAGCUGAAAAUUGUAAUGAGUUAUACGCAAGGGACACGAGGCUAAGGGUUGUGGUCACUUUCAAGGGUAUAGUGUAUAGGAAAGUGAAACAGAUGGAUGUAUGCAAUGUGUUUGAGUGCUUAGGGUUUUUUAGGUCCAUCUGCAUAGACCCUAAUGUGGGGUUACCCCUGUGUGUGUGUGUUGUGUGUGUGAUAAUAUGAGAUGAGUCUAUGAGAUGAUAUGAAGAAACAUCAUUUUAUUUCAUUUUGCAGGUUUAGAGUGUGUGUGGUUGGUUAAUUGAAGACACACAUACAACAAUGUACAUUCACAUGUGUGUUUCCAUAUAAAUGUAAUGUGAGUGUUUGUGUGUGUGUGAGAGAGAGGGAGCUAGGGUAUGUGGGCAGGAGAGUAAUGGGAUUCUAUGAGUAGUAAAAAGAAGAUUUUUUUAUCAUAUGAUGGCUGCUUUUGCUGGGCUUGUGGGAUCCCCCAUUGAUUCAUACAUUUACUCUAGAGAGGGAAUGGGGAAUGGACCACAUGCACCCAUCUAAAACACAAGAAAAGGGGAAAGAGAAUUUCAAAUUUUCAAUCUCUCUCUCCAUUUCUUGGUCUCUGGUUGGUUAGUGGAGAAUAAAAUUACACAGUCAAUGCAGGUCAAAAAAGGACAUAUUAUUGGGGUUCUGGCAUCAAGAGAUGGGACCACCCCACCUCUUCCAGGAGAUCUCCUGAAAUCAAUUGGAUCUCUCAUCUCUCUCUUCAUGCAUAUCAGUAUAUGUAUGUGUGUGUAUACCUACACAGACACACAAAGAGAUAGCUCAUCAGGAAACCAGUGUGGUGUGCAGUAUGGAGAACAUUCCCACUGCAUAUAUCAGCUUUGUCUUAAAAGGAGGAAAAUGUAAAGGAAAAAGAGAAAUUAUUAUUGAAAUGAAAAAUAAAAAAAUAAAAAAUAAAUAAUAAAAAAAGAAGGGAAUAUGUGAGGAGAGCAUAUAUGGGGUAGAUCACCUUUCUUUUCGCAUUGUGUUCAGACUGUACUUAAAAGCAGAUUCUAUUCUCCACACACACCUCUCAAACUUUUAAUAAUAUCACCUCAUCUUCUGACUCCA